rnacentral:rRNA from 1 species
AAAUUGAAGAGUUUGAUCAUGGCUCAGAUUGAACGCUGGCGGCAGGCCUAACACAUGCAAGUCGAACGGUAACAGGAAGCAGCUUGCUGCUUUGCUGACGAGUGGCGGACGGGUGAGUAAUGUCUGGGAAACUGCCUGAUGGAGGGGGAUAACUACUGGAAACGGUAGCUAAUACCGCAUAACGUCGCAAGACCAAAGAGGGGGACCUUCGGGCCUCUUGCCAUC